rnacentral:lncRNA from 10 species
AUUUGGGAGAAACAAAGUAAAAUGUGCAAUCCUAACACAGUCCAUUUCUUUUUGUAAGUGCUUCUCACCACACCUUCAGCACGCACAGAGCAGGCCGCAGCUCCUGCAUCUUCAGCAGCACGCCGACCCGCCCCUCUUCCCCGCUGCACAGGCCACCUACUCUGAGUGUGCAUGCCUGGCUCUGGGCGGAGCACCUGCUCCAGCUCUGCAGGCCGCCCACACCCCGUGCCUGGCCUCUCCUCUUCUGACCUUUCCUUCCCCAUCUCGAGUCCCCUGGUGGUUAUUCCAAGUGUGUUCUUAGAUGUGGACAGACUAUUGCCUCCCGGUCACUGGAGCGUUCUCAAUACUUCAGCCAUCUGUGCAUGAUGGGUACAGUAGGAAUUGAAUUGUGCCAGUUGGUAACGGCUUCAGUAAGGGCUGCAGAGAAGAUACAGAACAGAAACGACCAGGAGCAGAUCCUCACGGAGCCCCCCGGCUAGUGAUGAGGAUCACUGUGCCCUGGACACGCAGACACAAGCAAUCUUCGCAUUGACCUUGUUCUGGGGCUCACUCUAAGCUAUCUCUGAAGAAAACCAUUGCCUAAUCUGGAGCUGCUACUACCAGAAAUAACCAUAGUCAAGGAAAACUCUACGUCCAAGUAAACUCAAGAUAUCAGGAAAUAAGAUUAAAAAGGAGUGUGGGGCUGCCACUGACAUUUUAAAAUCUCCUCUUUGUAUUCUCUAUUUUCAGAAAACAAUUUCAACAUCAAGCAUGAAGUUUAUGAUGAAUAUAGGAAAUAGAAGGAUGGUGAGGAUUGAGGAUUUUGUCUGUGGGAAAUUAUUAUUGUUCUGAUAUUUUAAAACAGAAGAGCCAAACCAAAACAACUGUUCUUUUGACUAAAAAGGUGAUGAGAGAUUUUUAGUGUCCCCACCACACAUGCACACACACACACAGGCACACACAUACACACCUGUGCACACACACACACGUAUGCACACGCGUACAUACAUGUACACACAUACACAUAUACACAUACACACAGGCACACCUGUGCCCACAGACACACAUAUACACACAUGCACACACACGUACACACGUACACACAUACCCAUAUACAUGCAUACACACGUGCGCAGACACACAUACACAGGAACACACACGUACACACAUGUACACACACGUAUACACAGAGACACACAGACACACACAGGCGCACACGUGCACACAUACACACACAUACACGCACAUCCGCGCACACACAAUGGCAACUAUGGGUGGGUUGGAUGUGUUAAU